AUUGAACGCUGGCGGCAGGCCUAACGCAUGCAAGUCGAGCGGGGUUUUCGGACCUAGCGGCGGACGGGUGAGUAAUGCGUAGGAAGCUGCCCGAUAGAGGGGGAUACCAGUUGGAAACGACUGUUAAUACCGCAUAAUGUCUACGGACCAAAGUGUGGGACCUUCGGGCCACAUGCUAUCGGAUGCGCCUACGUUGGAUUAGCUAGUUGGUGUGGUAAUGGCUCACCAAGGCGACGAUCUCUAGCUGGUUUGAGAGGAUGAUCAGCCACACUGGAACAGAGACACGAUCCAGAGUCGUACGGGAGGCAGCAGUAGUGAAUAUUGGACAAUGGGCGCGAGCCUGAUCCGGCCAUUCCGCGUGUGUGAAGAAGGCCUUCGGGUUGUAAAGCACUUUUGUCCGGGAGCAAAUGCUGGUGGCUAACAUCCACCGGAGCUGGGAGUACCGGAAGAAUAAGCACCGGCUAACUACGUGCCAGCAGCCGCGGUAACAC
rnacentral:rRNA from 1 species